rnacentral:tRNA from 5 species
GGGCCCAUAGCUCAAUGGUCAGAGCAGAGGACUCAUAAUCCUUUGGUUCCAGGUUCGAAUCCUGGUGGGCCCACCA